rnacentral:rRNA from 1 species
AGCAGUCGCCGCGGGAAAACGAAGGGUGCAAGCGUUACUCGGAAUUACUGGGCGUAAAGGGCACGCAGGCGGUGACUUAAGUGAGGUGUGAAAGCCCCGGGCUUAACCUGGGAAUUGCAUUUCAUACUGGGUCGCUAGAGUACUUUAGGGAGGGGUAGAAUUCCACGUGUAGCGGUGAAAUGCGUAGAGAUGUGGAGGAAUACCGAAGGCGUAGGCAGCCCCUUGGGAAUGUACUGACGCUCAUGUGCGAAAGCGCGGGGAGCAAACAGGAUUAGAUACCCCAGUAGUCCCUGUCUCUUAUAC